rnacentral:rRNA from 1 species
UACAGAGGUCCCAAGCGUUGUUCGGAUUCAUUGGGCGUAAAGGGUGCGUAGGUGGCAUGGUAAGUCGGGUGUGAAAUCCCGGGGCUUAACCCCGGAACUGCACUCGAUACUACCGUGCUCGAGUACUGGAGAGGAGACUGGAAUUUACGGUGUAGCAGUGAAAUGCGUAGAUAUCGUAAGGAAGACCGGUGGCGAAAGCUAGUCUCUGGACAGUUACUGACACUGAGGCACGAAGGCCAGGGGAGCAAACGGA